rnacentral:rRNA from 1 species
GUGUCCCUACGGGGCGCAGCAGUGGGGGAUAUUGCACAAUGGGGGAAACCCUGAUGCAGCGACGCCGCGUGUGGGAAGACGGUCCUCUGGAUUGUAAACCACUGUCCCCAGGGACGAAAAUGACGGUACCUGGGGAGGAAGCUCCGGCUAACUACGUGCCAGCAGCCGCGGUAAUACGUAGGGGGCAAGCGUUAUCCGGAUUUACUGGGUGUAAAGGGAGCGUAGACGGCAGGGCAAGUCUGGAGUGAAAGGCGGGGGCUCAACCCCCGGACUGCUCUGGACAC